UUUUAUGGAGAGUUUGAUCCUGGCUCAGAGUGAACGCUGGCGGCGUGCCUAAUACAUGCAAGUCGAACGAUGAAGCUUCUAGCUUGCUAGAAGUGGAUUAGUGGCGCACGGGUGAGUAAGGUAUAGUUAAUCUGCCCUACACAAGAGGACAACAGUUGGAAACGA
rnacentral:rRNA from 1 species